rnacentral:rRNA from 1 species
CUCGUAGGUGGCCAACUAAGUCAGACGUGAAAUCCCUCGGCUUAACCGGGGAACUGCGUCUGAUACUGGAUGGCUUGAGUUUGGGAGAGGGACGCGGAAUUCCAGGUGUAGCGGUGAAAUGCGUAGAUAUCUGGAGGAACACCGGUGGCGAAGGCGGCGUCCUGGACCAACACUGACACUGAGGAGCGAAAGCCAGGGGAGCAAACG